CCUAGUUGGGUGAACCUCGAUAACAAAUUUCUGGCGUAUUUUUUCUUUUUAUUUUGUUUGCUUCAAUACUAUCGUUGUAGUGUGGGUAAUUUUUAUCAACAAUUACCACAUUUUUAAUAGUGCCAAUUUACUAGAUUUCUUAUUUGUUAUUUUCUUUCUCUUUAUCAUCAAUAUGAUUUCUUCCUAUUAUCAAUUUCUCUAUCUAUUAAUAGACCCAUCUUCUUCAAUUUCUCUAUCAAUUUCUCCAACGGACCUCAAAUUUUGACCUCUCUAACUCAAUCUUGAGGGGUUGUUGGUGAUAUUACAUGGUGGGCUGGUUGAAGAAGAAGGAGAUGGAGAGUUGUUUGGGGGUGGUUCACGUCGCUGGUUCGCUGGGUGGUCGAUGGGGUUUAGGGUGGUCGACCAGACUGGUCGACGUGUAAAAGGGAAAAGGGAAGUAGCAGAAAGAACGGAAGGGAUGAACAUGAACCAGAAUCUCAUAGAAGUCUUAAAGAAGCCAUUAUUUUUGGGAUUAAGUCUCAGUGCCUCACUACUCAAAACUCUCAGAUUUGUAUUCAUCAACCCGAAAAAAAGAUGCACUUAUGUAUCUAUUUGUAAAAAUGCAGGAGUUAAAUAGACCGAAUUAUUGAUAUGCAUGAAGCAAAUUCAAUAAGAAACCACCAAAAAUACAUGAGAACUAACAGAUUUUCACCGAAAGAAGAGGAAACAACAAUACCCAGCAAACUUUGAUUAGAAAUAAAGUUUAAUUAAGAAAGAAAAUUCCUAAAAAACAAAGAGCAAAAUCCAAUUUUAACCGCAAAAAAAGAGAAAAACCCACUAUGUAAAUCUAGAAAGAAUGUCUUUUGGAAACAUAAAUAGAGAAAAUUUAGAGUGAGAAAAAAGAAACAGAAGAAGAAAACAACAAUCUAUGGGAAUAUGAAGUACCUUAGAUGAAAUGAAUGCAGACCC
rnacentral:lncRNA from 1 species